GUGAAUUAAACAUGCUUGGUGUCUUCGCUUCGGCAAGGCCCUUGCUUAAAUCACAUCCUAACACCUGUGAACUGUAAGACGUCUGAUGAGGUCUUUGGCCAAGUCAUCGCCUGCCCAUUUUUAACAAACAAUUAAUGUAACAAACGUAGUCUUAUUAUAACCUAAUA
rnacentral:misc_RNA from 1 species